UACGUAGGGAGCGAGCGUUGUCCGGAAUUACUGGGUGUAAAGGGUGCGUAGGCGGUAAGACAAGUCAGACGUGGAAGGCAUAGGCUUAACCUAUGGACUGCGUUUGAAACUGUAUUACUUGAGUGGAGUAGAGGCAAGCGGAAUUCCCAGUGUAGCGGUGAAAUGCGUAGAGAUUGGGAGGAACACCAGUGGCGAAGGCGGCUUGCUGGGCUCUAACUGACGCUGAGGCACGAAAGUAUGGGGAGCAAAC
rnacentral:rRNA from 1 species